rnacentral:rRNA from 1 species
UACGUAGGUGGCAAGCGUUGUCCGGAUUUACUGGGCGUAAAGGGCGCGUAGGCGGUCCUUCAAGUCAGGCGUGAAAGCCCCGGGCUCAACCUGGGAACCGCGCUUGAGACUGGCGGACUCGAGUUCGGGAGAGGAUGGUGGAAUUCCCAGUGUAGAGGUGAAAUUCGUAGAUAUUGGGAAGAACACCGAUGGCGAAGGCAGCCAUCUGGACCGACACUGACGCUGAGGCGCGAAAGCGUGGGGAGCAAACAGG